AGGGCUGCUUUUCUCGCGGCACGGGUGGUGGGGCUGCUUCUUGACUUCCGCGCCUAGUGCGCGGGGCCCCAUUCUCCAGUCCCGCCCACGCGCCUUUGGAGGCUGCGGUGGGAUUUCCUUUUGCUUUCGGUUGGGGCUGCUGUUUCUCUUCGCCGACGAGACUCUGGAACCCCUGUGCUCUUCUCCUCAUCUAGUGACCCUGAGGUGAUGGAGUUUUCAAGUCCUUCCAGAGAGGAAUGUCCCAAGCCUUCGGGUAGGGUAAGCAUCAUGGCUGGCAGCCUCACAGGAUUGCUUCUACUUCAGGCAGUGUCGUGGGCAUCAGGUGCCUUCAGCCGCUACAAGAGCAGAAGCAGUGGGCAUCGGAUGGAGCUGAGUACAGGACCAUACAGGCUAAUUGCACCGGCACAGGAAUCGGAUAUAACAUCAUCUGGGUACCCAUGGCCAGCUGUGACUUCUCCAUCUGCACCUACACCUAUGCAGACACCCCUGAUGAUUUCCAGUUGCACAACUUCAGCCUCCCAGAGGAAGAUACCAAGCUCAAGGUUCCUGGAUGCCUAUGCUGAGCACAAGUUACAGUUCUGGGCAGUGACAGCUGAAAAUGAGCCUUCUGCUGGGCUGUUGAGUGGAUACGCCUUCCAGUGCCUGGGCUUCACCCCUGAACAUCAGCGAGACUUCAUUGCCCGUGACCUAGGUCCUACCCUCGCCAACAGUACUCACCACAAUGUCCGCCUACUCAUGCUGGAUGACCAACGCUUGCUGCUGCCCCACUGGGCAAAGGUGGUACUGACAGACCCAGAAGCAGCUAAAGGCCUGUGUGGGUUCCAAGUUCUGGGAGCAGAGUGUGCGGCUAGGCUCCUGGGAUCGAGGGAUGCAGUACAGCCACAGCAUCAUCACAGUCUGCACACCUCAUUGCCCCUUUUGCAACUACUGAGGCACUUGCAGUUGCCUCAGACUUCUCAGCUCCCCUUGAGAUGCCUGGAUCUUCACACCCCCAACUCCUUAGCUACUAAGGAAUGUGCCCCUCACAGGGCUGAGCUACCCACAGCCGCCUCUCCCACAUGUGACCCUUACCUUCACUCUCUGGGGACCCCCAGUGUUGCGCCUUUCUCUCCUUGCCUUUGUCCUUACCCUAGAACCUCCUGUACCAUGUGGUCGGCUGGACCGACUGGAACCUAUCAUUGUAGACAUCACCAAGCACACGUUUUACAAACAGCCCAUGUUCUACCACCUUGGCCACUUCAGGUGAGUGGAGGGCGGGCACCCCCAUUCCAUACCAGGCCUAUCAUCUCCUACAUUGGAUGGCUUACAUCACUCUACACCACGAGGGAGCAGGAAGGUGUUCAGGGUGGAACGUCGGAAGAGGCACACCCAUCCCCUUUUGCACCAUGGAGGCAGGAAGUGACUAGGUAGCAACAGAAAACCCCAAUGCCUGAGGCUGGACUGUGAUGCAGAAAAGCAGGCAAGUUCAUUCCUGAGGGCUCCCAGAGAGUGGGGCUGGUUGCCAGUCAGAAGAACGACCUGGACACAGUGGCACUGAUGCAUCCCGAUGGCUCUGCUGUUGUGGUCGUGCUAAACCGCUCCCCUAAGGAUGUGCCUCUUACCAUCAAGGAUCCUGCUGUGGGCUUCCUGGAGACAAUCUCACCUGGCUACUCCAUUCACACCUACCUGUGGCGUCGCCAGUGAUGGAGCAGAUACUCAAGGAGGCACUGGGCUCAGCAUUAAAGGGACAGAGUCAGCUCACACGCUGUGACUAAAGAGGGCACAGCAGGGCCAGCGUGAGCUUACAGCGACGUAAGCCCAGGGGCAAUGGUUUGGGUGACUCACUUUCCCCUCUAGGUGGUGCCAGGGGCUGGAGGCCCCUAGAAAAAGAUCAGUAAGCCCCAGUGUCCCCCCAGCCCCCAUGCUUAUGUGAACAUGCGCUGUGUGCUGCUUGCUUUGGAAACUGGGCCUGGGUCCAGGCCUAGGGUGAGCUCACUGUCUGUACAAACACAAGAUCAGGGCUGAGGGUAAGGAAAAGAAGAGACUAGGAAAGCUGGGCCCAAAACUGGAGACUGUUUGUCUUUCCUGGAGAUGCAGAACUGGGCCCGUGGAGCAGCAGUGUCAGCAUCAGGGCGGAAGCCUUAAAGCAGCAGCGGGUGUGCCCAGGCACCCAGAUGAUUCCUAUGGCACCAGCCAGGAAAAAUGGCAGCUCUUAAAGGAGAAAAUGUUUGAGCCCA